rnacentral:rRNA from 1 species
AGAGUUUGAUCAUGGCUCAGAACGAACGCUGGCGGCAUGCCUAACACAUGCAAGUCGAACGAGCCCUUCGGGGUUAGUGGCGCACGGGUGCGUAACGCGUGGGAAUCUGCCCUUUGCUUCGGAAUAACAGUUAGAAAUGACUGCUAAUACCGGAUGAUGUCUUCGGACCAAAGAUUUAUCGGCAAGGGAUGAGCCCGCGUAGGAUUAGGUAGUUGGUGGGGUAAAGGCCUACCAAGCCGACGAUCCUUAGCUGGUCUGAGAGGAUGAUCAGCCACACUGGGACUGAGACACGGCCCAGACUCCUACGGGAGGCAGCAGUGGGGAAUAUUGGACAAUGGGCGCAAGCCUGAUCCAGCAAUGCCGCGUGAGUGAUGAAGGCCUUCGGGUCGUAAAGCUCUUUUACCAGGGAUGAUAAUGACAGUACCUGGAGAAUAAGCUCCGGCUAACUCCGUGCCAGCAGCCGCGGUAAUACGGAGGGAGCUAGCGUUGUUCGGAAUUACUGGGCGUAAAGCGCACGUAGGCGGCGACACAAGUCAGAGGUGAAAGCCCGGGGCUCAACCCCGGAACUGCCUUUGAAACUAGGUUGCUAGAAUCUUGGAGAGGUCAGUGGAAUUCCGAGUGUAGAGGUGAAAUUCGUAGAUAUUCGGAAGAACACCAGUGGCGAAGGCGACUGACUGGACAAGUAUUGACGCUGAGGAGCGAAAGCGUGGGGAGCGAACAGGAUUAGAUACCCUGGUAGUCCAA